rnacentral:rRNA from 1 species
CGGAAAAAGAGGAGUGGCGAACGGGUGAGUAACACGUGGGUAACCUGCCCAUCAGAAGGGGAUAACACUUGGAAACAGGUGCUAAUACCGUAUAACAAUCAAAACCGCAUGGUUUUGAUUUGAAAGGCGCUUUCGGGUGUCGCUGAUGGAUGGACCCGCGGUGCAUUAGCUAGUUGGUGAGGUAACGGCUCACCAAGGCCACGAUGCAUAGCCGACCUGAGAGGGUGAUCGGCCACAUUGGGACUGAGACACGGCCUAAACUCCUACGGGAGGCAGCAGUAGGGAAUCUUCGGCAAUGGACGAAAGUCUGACCGAGCAACGCCGCGUGAGUGAAGAAGGUUUUCGGAUCGUGAAACUCUGUUGUUAGAGAAGAACAAGGAUGAGAGUAACUGUUCAUCCCUUGACGGUAUCUAACCAGAAAGCCACGGCUAACUACGUGCCAGCAGCCGCGGUAAUACGUAGGUGGCAAGCGUUGUCCGGAUUUAUUGGGCGUAAAGCGAGCGCAGGCGGUUUCUUAAGUCUGAUGUGAAAGCCCCCGGCUCAACCGGGGAGGGUCAUUGGAAACUGGGAGACUUGAGUGCAGAAGAGGAGAGUGGAAUUCCAUGUGUAGCGGUGAAAUGCGUAGAUAUAUGGAGGAAC